UCAAACACCCGUUCUUGUACGAUCGCCGAAGUUAAGCAAUGUUGUGCCUUGUCAAUAGCUAGAAGAGUGACCGCUCAGGAAUACCAGGUGCUGUCAG